GAUGAACGCUGGCGGCGUGCCUAAUACAUGCAAGUCGAGCGAACAGACGAGGAGCUUGCUCCUCUGACGUUAGCGGCGGACGGGUGAGUAACACGUGGAUAACCUACCUAUAAGACUGGGAUAACUUCGGGAAACCGGAGCUAAUACCGGAUAAUAUAUUGAACCGCAUGGUUCAAUAGUGAAAGACGGUUUUGCUGUCACUUAUAGAUGGAUCCGCGCCGCAUUAGCUAGUUGGUAAGGUAACGGCUUACCAAGGCGACGAUGCGUAGCCGACCUGAGAGGGUGAGCGGACACACUGGAACUGAGACACGGUCCAGACUCCUACGGGAGGCAGCAGUAGGGAAUCUUCCGCAAUGGGCGAAAGCCUGACGGAGCAACGCCGCGUGAGUGAUGAAGGUCUUCGGAUCGUAAAACUCUGUUAUUAGGGAAGAACAAAUGUGUAAGUAACUAUGCACGUCUUGACGGUACCUAAUCAGAAAGCCACGGCUAACUACGUG
rnacentral:rRNA from 1 species